AUGUGGCUCAGUGGUAGAGCAUUUGCCUAGUAUACAUGAGGUCUUGGGUUCAAUUCUCAGUAU
rnacentral:tRNA from 1 species